ACAGAAACUGCUAUUUGUUAAUAACUGGAAUCUUUUCUGGGAGCGUCCUAGACUGUUUCGCGCUGAUGGAUUACACCCCAGUCGAGUCGGAGCGGAGCUUCUCUCUGACAACAUCUCCAGGACACUUCACUCCAUGUGACUAGAUUUACACAAGCUCCAGUCUGGAUCCAGAACACCUGAGAAGAGAUGAUGCUGACCCUCAGAGGACCUCAGAUGAUGCUAACCCUGAAUCAACAAACAGAACUAACAAUUAUUGCUAAAUGUGUGACUGAAUCAUAUAAUAACUUAAUUAAUAAUAUUGAUAGUUCAUCGUCUAGCUGACUACGUCUUGUAUUAUUAUAAUUUUUUCUAAAAUCCUGUCAAAUGUGCACAAACAACUAGCUACUACUAAAUAUUGUAGAAACAUAAUUUUCUGUAAAGUUGCUUUGUAACGAUUUGUUUUAUAAAAAGCGCUAUACAAAUAAACUUGAAUUGAAUUACUCUCUCACUUAUCUGACUGCUUUCUUUAGUAAUUUUGUCUGCUAACAGUCAAGCCUUUGCUAACAAGACGAGCUAUUAGCACUUAGCGUAACAGAAUCCAUGUAAAGGUGUUGCUAAUGCAGAAACAGCUUUAACAUGAACACAGAAGUCCACACAUGAACAAGAAACAAAGACACACAAUGUUUUACUUUCUGUAUCUCUGUCUCUUGAUACAACUAUUGUGUUUUCUGGCUUUCUGGG